AUGCUGAGCCUUGGGGACCAGGCCACCAGGGCUGCCAGGCCCUGGUGGCCCAGUGUCCACCCCUUCAAUGAUAUUGCUCUUCCGUGGGAGUGUGGGGGGCGGGCUUUGGGCUCCUUAACAAGUUUACUGAAUACCCACUAUGUGCAGGGGUGCUCUAGAUCUUUCAGUAUCAGGCUUUCCUCAGCUGUCACCGUCCCCCCCCCCCUCCCCCCUCCCCCCUCCCCCUCCAGACCAUUCCAUCUCCCUCUCCCUAGCCUGGCUAACAGGAAACACAGCCGGAGAGGUCAAGAGUCCUGGUUUUCAGAGCCCAGUGUCUGCACAACAUGGAGGAUGGAAUUGGCUAAGGCCCAGGACCUGCUGGGAGAUAGUGGCCAGAUAUACUUCAUAGCGAAGCUCCAGGGCUCAGGGGUGACAACCAGUGUGGGGAUGGCCAAAGGCCACCCUGCAGAAGAAAACAACACGGCCCUGAAGGUUAUCACAGCCAGCUCUUCCGAUGGUUACCCAACAGCCCCCUAG
rnacentral:lncRNA from 1 species